rnacentral:rRNA from 1 species
AGUGAACGCUGGCGGUAGGCCUAACACAUGCAAGUCGAACGGCAGCACAGUAAGAGCUUGCUCUUACGGGUGGCGAGUGGCGGACGGGUGAGGAAUACAUCGGAAUCUACUUUUUCGUGGGGGAUAACGUAGGGAAACUUACGCUAAUACCGCAUACGACCUACGGGUGAAAGCAGGGGAUCUUCGGACCUUGCGCGAUUGAAUGGGCCGAUGUCGGAUUAGCUAGUUGGCGAGGUAAAGGCCCACCAAGGCGACGAUCCGUAGCUGGUCUGAGAGGAUGAUCAGCCACACUGGAACUGAGACACGGUCCAGACUCCUACGGGAGGCAGCAGUGGGGAAUAUUGGACAAUGGGCGCAAGCCUGAUCCAGCCAUACCGCGUGGGUGAAGAAGGCCUUCGGGUUGUAAAGCCCUUUUGUUGGGAAAGAAAAGCAGCAGGUUAAUACCCCGCUGUUCUGACGGUACCCAAAGAAUAAGCACCGGCUAACUUCGUG